GGGCGAGUGGCGAAACGGCAGACGCGGCAGCCCUAGGAGCUGUUGCUCGUAAGAGCGUGAGGGUUCAAGUCCCUCCUCGCCCA
rnacentral:tRNA from 1 species